rnacentral:lncRNA from 1 species
CACAAAAGAGAUGUCAUCCUCAUCUUCUAGCCAUUUUGUCACAUCUUUUCUCGUAGCACUUUUUAUUAGUUGUUACAUAUUCUCUUCAACCUCAGCGGCUAGAGACCUUGCACAAAAAACCAACAAUGAAUUCGUGAAAACAUCUUGCAGUGCAACAACCUACCCAAAGCUUUGCCUUACUUCUCUUUCAAGCCAUGCAAGUGCAAUCCAAACAAGCCCUAAACUUAUGGCCAGCACAGCCCUCACCGUGACGCUUGCCUCCACCAAAUCAACCUCUACCAUGAUGUCAAAGCUCUAACAAAGUCAUGGCAUGAAGCCUAGAGAAGUCGGAGCCAUGAGGGACUGCAUCGAAGAGUUAAGUGAUUCGGUCGAUGCAAUUCAGAGGUCCAUAGCUGAGAUGGGCAACUUUAGGAGCUCGGAUUUUCAGUUCAUGAUAAGUGAUGUGCAAACUUGGGUUAGUGCUGCUUUGACGGAUGAGACAACAUGCUUUGAUGGGUUUGGUGGAAAUGGGAUGAACGGUAAUUUGAAGACUGUUGUGAGGGGCAGAGUUGUGAAUAUUGCACAAUUGACUAGCAAUGCCUUGGCUUUGAUCAACAGAUACGCCUCAGUUUAUGGUUAAACCAGUCAACUAGUCUACUGUACUUGGAUUAUUUUUUAAAGACGUAGAUGUCAGCAAUAUAUGUUGUAUGAUAAGAUAAGUUGCUACAUUCGGUUUGUACGUGUGACUGUUACUUAUUUUUUAUUUGAGUGAAUAUACGUAUCUCUACAAGUGUAGAGAAAUUGGUCUUGUAUUGUAUAAAUAAAUUUAUGGAUUCAAUUUUUAUUAGAUGGUGCAAAUUUGCAUAUGCUAAAAUACAAAGAAGUUUUGAAAAGUAGACAAAAUUUGGACAUGUACUAAAGACUUUUAGUAAAAUGUUUUGGGAGAGCUCGUACACUAAUUUUUUUUAUGUCAAAUAUGCAUUGUACAAUGGCAUUUCCACCUAGGAUUUGACAAAUUCUUUAAUGUAUUAAACCAACAGGUAGUUUUUCACUUUCUUUAAUUAAGUACUUGUAUAGAUUAAGGGCUCGUUUGAAUGUACUUUUAAAAUGACUGAAAGCGCUUUUAGAGAAAAUAUUUUUGGGUUACAAAAGCACGUUAAGUGCUUUUUGCAAGAAGCAUUAGUUAUGUGAUUCUUCCAGGAAGCACUUUAAGUGUUUUUCCAUGAUUUUCUUGCAUUUUUACUAAGGAGUGGUUCCAAAAACAUUUUCAUCAAAAGCGGUUUUAGUUAUUUUAAAAACACAUCCAAACAAGCUCUAAGAGAAUUGCUUGCCUACAAACCCUUAUGUUGAUAUAACGUUUCAACAAAUUGUUCAGAUAAUAGAAUUUCGGACAAAUAAAAAACUUUCCGAUAAUGAGAAACCAAGGAGUGGAAGGGAAAGAAAGACCAGAAAACUUUAUGGACUUAUUUGUGAUUUGGCUUGUUUAAUUUUAUGAGAUGGUGACGGGCUGCUUGUAGGUCAAGGUCCCCAGCUCUUGGUUGUACUUUGCUAGACAUAGCACAUUUUCUGUCAUGGUAAAAAGAUAGGCAACAAGAACACCCAAUUGUGAUGAGAAAAUGAGAAAGAUCGAACACGAACAAGCAGAAGGAAUGAAGCUUUACAGAGAGGAAAAGAAUGGAGAGGGAUGAUGCUUAUAACUUUUUUAUUGCUCUUUCUGAAUGAAUUGUACAAUCUGUUUUGCAAUGCUUUAUAUAGUUGAGCACAUUACUUAGCUCACAAGCUUUUUCAACCAACUUGAACUAACUCUUCAACUUAUUACAAUGAUUGGAUUCCAAUCCUUCUUAACAAUUAUAAUGAGCCGCCAUUGAUGAGCCGUCAGUCAACUGUAGUCGACAGAAAAAAUUCCAAUAAUUACAAGGUUUAGGACCGACAAGGAAAAGACAGCUUUGGCAGCCAUUUAUAACGUUAUUCAUGAAAUUGAAAUGUGGUACAAACUAACACAAGGUGAAGUCGGGUUCAUCAACUUGGUUUCUGGAGGCUCUCAUAUGAUUCAGUUGAUCAAUUUUAAUGAUUUGAGAUUAGAGAAUUAUAUGCAAUCUCAUUGGUGAAUAUUUACUUGCCAUUCAUAACCUUUUAUUUAUUGCAUGAUUAAUUUUUGAUGGACUUUGCAUAAUCUAAAUUUGUAUUGGAAUAAGAGGCUGCACCUUUUAUUAAGUUAGAUUUAGGGUACAAGAGUCUACUCAGCGAUAAUUUUUGGUACAAUAUUUUAUAAUAUUGACACAGGAAUUGACAUUAAACUGUGAGAUAACAAAGAGUUUAUGAAGAAUUCCACUUUAGAAGGAGUCUUCUAAAAAAGAAUCAAAUGCACCAGUUCCUUUUUUGUCUCCAUUUACUCCUACCACUCCUAUCUCCACUUUGAUAUGUAUAUUGCCCUCAACCAUCCCACAUGAUUAAUUUUGAUAUCUAUCCAUUGAUAGUUGUGAUAUUUUGAUAUAUAUCUAGAGUAAUGUUAGGUAUAUCAUUUUUUUAGACUAUAUUUAUAAAUUAUGUAAUGUGUCACCAAUAAAGAAUAAGUACGUUAAUCAACAUUUAAGUAAUAACUCAAUUGUAGUCUCCCUAACAUUAUCCAUAUAUCUAUGAAAAAUCCCUGUCGAGUCUGUACCCUUCCAUGCAUUAAAUCUCUUUCGCAAGUGCUACAUUUAAGGAGAGAGUUAUUUGUAUACAUGUCGACUGAAAAUCUCAAGUUGCGGGAAGACGCAUGCAAAUUACGCACAAGUUGAAUGCCUUCACUCACCGAUCAAGUUGGGAUCGAUUGAUCACAAUGAUUUAGACAAGUUCGAGUAUGGCUCUUUGGUUUCACAUUGCUUUAGAGUUUAGACGUCAAUGAACCAAUUGCAGCAAGUUCAUGAGAAACCAACAAAACCAACUGGCAACUCGAAAUUAUGUUUAGGAAACAGAUGUACCUGCCUCCAGCUGUAAUUUGGGACCGAAAAAAGACUUUUCCAUGUGCUUUUUAGAAUUGGUUCUAUAAAUUAGUGUCAUUCCCUUCCUACUUUCUUCACACUCUCUACACUGCUACUCUACUGCCUCCAAAAUCAAAGACACAAAAGAGAUGGCAUUCUCAUCUUCUAGCCAUUUUGUCACAUCUUUUCUCUUGGCACUUCUUAUUAGUUGCUACAUAUUCUCUUCAACCUCAGCAGCAAGAGACCUUGCACAAAAAACCAACAAUGAAUUCAUGAAAACAUCUUGCAGUGCAACAACCUACCCAAAGCUUUGCCUUACUUCUCUUUCAAGACAUUCAAGUGAAAUCCAAACAAGCCCUAAACUUAUGGCCAGCACAGCCCUCACCGUGACCCUUGCCUCCGCCAAAUCAACCUCUACCAUGAUGUCAAAGCUCUCCCAAAGUCAU